AACAAACGCUUGCGGCGUGCCUAACACAUGCAUGUCGUACGAGAAAGGGUCCUUCGGGGCCUGAGUAAAGUGGCGCACGGGUGAGUAACGCGUGGAUAAUCUGCUCUUCAGUUAGGAAUAACUCAUCGAUAGGUGGGCUAAUACCGAAUAAUGCUGUGAGACCUCGGUUGAUCAGCCAAAGAGAGCCUAUGCUUCCAAGCCCUCGCUGAAGGGUGAGUCCGCGUACCAUUAGCUAGUUGGUAGGGUAAUGGCCUACCAAGGCGACGAUGGUUAGCUGGUCUGAGAGGAUGAUCAGCCACCCUGGAACUGAGUCACGGUCCAGACUCCUACGGGAGGCAGCAGUGAGGAAUCUUGCGCAAUGGGGGCAACCCUGACGCAGCAACGCCGCGUGAGUGAGGAAGGUCUUCGGAUCGUAAAGCUCUGUCGGAUGGAAAGAACCGCAUAGGGGUAAACAGCCCCUGUGUCUGACGGUACCAUCAAAGGAAGCACCGGCUAACUCCGUGCCAGCAGCCGCCGUAAUAC
rnacentral:rRNA from 1 species